rnacentral:rRNA from 1 species
UAGGGAAUCUUCCACAAUGGACGCAAGUCUGAUGGAGCAACGCCGCGUGAGUGAAGAAGGUCUUCGGAUCGUAAAGCUCUGUUGUUGGUGAAGAAGGAUAGAGGCAGUAACUGGUCUUUAUUUGACGGUAAUCAACCAGAAAGUCACGGCUAACUACGUGCCAGCAGCCGCGGUAAUACGUAGGUGGCAAGCGUUGUCCGGAUUUAUUGGGCGUAAAGCGAGCGCAGGCGGAAUGAUAAGUCUGAUGUGAAAGCCCACGGCUCAACCGUGGAACUGCAUCGGAAACUGUCAUUCUUGAGUGCAGAAGAGGAGAGUGGAACUCCAUGUGUGGCGGUGGAAUGCGUAGAUAUAUGGAAGAACACCAGUGGCGAAGGCGGCUCUCUGGUCUGCAACUGACGCUGAGGCUCGAAAGCAUGGGUAGCGAACAGGAUUAGAUACCCUGGUAGUCCAUGCCGUAAACGAUGAGCGCUAGGUGUUGGGGACUUUCCGGUCUCAGUGGCCGCAGC